GACCGGCCAGUUGCCAGCUGCUGGAGAGAAUGAGCUUGGAGCCGCAGGGCUUAAUCCCGCGCGGCUCAGAGAUGGGUUUCUGGACUCGCGAAGCAGCUGCAACAAGGCAUCACUCACUGUAUAAGUAUUUCCAUUUCUGAGAGCAAAAGGAAGAACUUAAGCGGGCGGCACUUGGAGUGUAAAUUGCUUUGUAGUAUUUAAAGGCAGAAUGGAUCCUGGGCAGCCGAGCUGCAACAAACCGGCAGGACUUCCUGUGAAAUCAUGACCACCAUGUGCUCUUUCAGCCUCUAUCAGUUCCUACCUCUAAGCACCUGAGAGCCAAAGCAAACCACAGGAAACCACAGGUACUAACUCUUUUAGACCUGAUGAAGUGUCUCCCAAAUACAGUCUGGCAUGACUCAAACUAAACGUCAGCUUUUCCCGGCUCUCAAGCCUGCUGGUCCCUGAACUAAAACUCACAUUAUCAACUCUACUGGUUCUUAGGCCUUUGGAGUCAGACUGGAACUACAGCAUUGACUCUUCCGGAACUCCAGCUUACUGACUACAGAUCUUGGAACUUUUCAGCUUCCACAACCAUCUUCUUUGGACCUUUUAAGUUGCAUUAUCCCAUAAAAUGUGGUGGAUUCAAUGUUGUAUGGCCUGUAAAACUAAGUAAUGAAGGCUGAUAUGUACCCACCUGGCUCUGUCUUGGGAUCACACAACUUGGGAGCCAAAACAGGUAUAAUUGUGAUCUCUUCCCAGGAAAAAGAAUGAGACUUGGCUGUUCUAAAAAACUACAGCUUGUCCUGUGGAGAACUGUGAUUACUUCUGAUGGAAAAUGACAGGCUGAAUGCCAGAAGGCAAAGCAACUGUUUUCCUAAGAGUCUUAAGACCCUGAAGGACUUGUGCCUCCUUUGGUGAUCUAGGGGAUAAAGAAGUGGAAUGGAAAUGGAGAGGAAUAGCUGGAACAAAAAGGCAAAGAGGUAUAAUCUAUCAUAAAUAUGCCGCCUUUAUAAGCAUGUGUGUACCAAAAAAAAGCCACAAACCAUAUAAAGUGAGCCUAUAUUAGAAAUAGAAGUAUUUUAUGAAAUAAUAUAUUUAAAAUUUCCAGUAAACAGAAUAUAAAUUUUUCCCAAAUACCCAUAAUAUAUUUACAAUAUUAGAAAAAAAUGCAAGCAGAAUUUAUGUAAAUUAUAUUAAUGGAAUUAACGGAAUAAAAUUAGAAGUUAAAAUUAAAAAUAGCCAAAAUUAAUAUUUGAAAAUAAAAAUAUUUUGUUAUUUGUGUUAAAGGGGAAAUCAAAACUAAAAUUAGAUAUUAUUUAAAAAUGAAUCUUACUAUAUAUCAAAUCACAUAAUAUCAAAAUCAUACUCUAAAGAAAUUUUGUAGCCACAGAUGUAUAUUUUUAGUCUGAUAAAUGAAAUCUGCAUUCACCUCAAGAAGCUAGCGAAACAACAAAACAUUAAGAACUAAAAUCAACAUAAUUUCUGGUCACUUUGUUAAAUAAAAUUGAAACCAGAAUAUUUCCUUGUACCUCUAUUAAGUUAAUACCAAGAACAAGCAAAAAUAAAGCAAUUACUUGUUCUAGAAAAUAUUUUCUCUUUGGAAAUAAGACGAAUAACCAGCUAAAAUAGGUUUUUAAUCAAAACUAACAAAAGUGUUGAUCAAUACUCAUUUCAAGAUCCUGGCUUCAUGGUGCCCAUCAAUCCAAAACUACUUCCUAGACCCUGUUGAAUCUCAACCAACUUCCCCCCUGUCAAGACUAGCUUUAAAAUCACUCAUGAAGGUAUGAGAUUCUAAUAAACAUCUCCCUUUCCCUCUGACUUCUCCUUCUUGAGACACUACACUUGUACUCUAUUAAGGUGAUAGUUUUUCUUCCUGCAAUAGGUCACAUAAACUUAGCUGUCUUCAUCAAUAUUUCUGAAGGUAUUUUGUGAAGUUAACAGCAAUGGAAGAGAAAUAAAUCAUAAAUAUUUGAAAACCAGUUAUUUUAAUAAAAAAAGAAGUGUCUUUUUUUUUAACAGAAUUGCAAAUAACAUAUGGAGAUACUGUGCUCCCAGGAGGUGGAGAUGAAUUAUUAUCCUUUCUUCACACCUUCCCAUUGAGAUUGGGCUAGAUUUGCUGAUAUUUUUCAAAAAAAUAGUGCAGUGAAAAAAAAAAAGGUGCAUUGUUUUAGUACAAGAAACUUGGCACAUUCUACCUCAACCAAAUGAUGAAAGUUAACAUCACAGAUUCCAUGUGGACAUUACUACCUCCCUGGUAUGAUGUGAUGAGAAAGGCAUUUCCCUCUGUGGUAUUAUUUCAAAUGACUGAUAAUUCUGGUCUAAUCAGGAGAAAAACAACACAGAUCCAUUGGAGACUUUCAACAGGACACCUGCCCAGUAUGCCUCAAGACUUUCAAGGUCAUGAAAACCAGAAAGGAGAGAUAAACAAUCACAGAUUAAGACAUUGUGGAAAUUGAACAAUCAGAAGCAAUGAUGUAGCCUAGAUUAAAUCCUAAAUCUGUAAGAGGACAUUGAUGGAAAAACUGGUGACAUCCAAAGAAGUCUUGAAUUUAGUUACAGUAAUAUCCUAAAAGAAAAAAAAUUGAAAUUGAAAGCAAAAUAAAGUACUUCACAAAUAAAUGAGAAAUACAUCAGAUAAUUCAGAUUAUAAACAAAGAGAAAAAAUCAAUUAGUACUUAAACAGGGACAUCCCCAAAGAAUCAGAGUUUAUUUUAAAAUGGCUUUCUCAGGGAUUUUAUUCUAAAUAUUUUAAAACGUAAAGGAAUUUUAAAAUUUCUUUAAAAAUACUUAAAAAUACCAGAAUUAAUCAAGUAUAUUGGAAAUGUCAUAAAAUCAGUAACUCUAGAUUUAAAUUAAAGGAAUAAAAAAACUCUACCAUUGGCAAAUGGUAGAUUAUUUGAUUAAUACAUAAAAAAUAUAAGCUACUCAAAUAAAUUAUUUGAACUAGUUGAAGUUCUAACAUACUCCAAUAGUUUUCUUGUGAUUCUUAGUAAGACAAUAUUAAGAAAAAAAAUUCCUUCAUGAGAAAACAACUACAAAAUAUGUAUAUUUAUUCCAAACAUAAAAUACUUAAGUUUUUUUUGCAAAAAAUACAAAUCUUUAUUGAAGAACUAAAUAAAACAUACCAAAACAUAAGCAUACCAAAUGUGUGUC
ensembl:lncRNA LINC01322 long intergenic non-protein coding RNA 1322